rnacentral:rRNA from 1 species
UACGAAGGGGGCUAGCGUUGUUCGGAAUUACUGGGCGUAAAGCGCGCGCAGGCGGCCAUUCAAGUCAGGGGUAAAGACCGCAGAGCUCAACUCUGGAACUGCCCUUGAAACUGUAUGGCUUGAGUAUGAGAGAGGUGAGUGGAAUUCCCAGUGUAGAGGUGAAAUUCGUAGAUAUUGGGAAGAACACCGGUGGCGAAGGCGGCUCACUGGCUCAUUACUGACGCUCGAGGCGACGGACAGCGUGGGGAUCAAACAGG